rnacentral:rRNA from 1 species
AGAGUUUGAUCAUGGCUCAGGAUGAACGCUAGCUACAGGCUUAACACAUGCAAGUCGAGGGGAAACGACAUCGAAAGCUUGCUUUUGAUGGGCGUCGACCGGCGCACGGGUGAGUAACGCGUAUCCAACCUGCCCACCACUUGGGGAUAACCUUGCGAAAGUAAGACUAAUACCCAAUGAUAUCUCUAGAAGACAUCUGAAAGAGAUUAAAGAUUUAUCGGUGAUGGAUGGGGAUGCGUCUGAUUAGCGUUGUUGGCGGGGUAACGGCCACCAAGGCUACGAUCGAGUAGGGGUUCUGACGAGGAAGGUCCCCCACAUUGGAACUGAGACACGGUCCAAACUCCUACGGGAGGCA